UACGAAGGGGGCUAGCGUUGCUCGGAAUCACUGGGCGUAAAGGGUGCGUAGGCGGGUCUUUAAGUCAGGGGUGAAAUCCUGGAGCUCAACUCCAGAACUGCCUUUGAUACUGAGGGUCUUGAGUUCGGGAGAGGUGAGUGGAACUGCGAGUGUAGAGGUGAAAUUCGUAGAUAUUCGGAAGAACACCAGUGGCGAAGGCGGCUCACUGGCCCGGUACUGACGCUGAGGUGCGAAAGCGUGGGGAGCAAACAGG
rnacentral:rRNA from 1 species